rnacentral:rRNA from 1 species
GUCCUACGGGGCGCAGCAGUGGGGAAUAUUGCACAAUGGGGGAAACCCUGAUGCAGCGACGCCGCGUGAAGGAAGAAGUAUUUCGGUAUGUAAACUUCUAUCAGCAGGGAAGAAAAUGACGGUACCUGAGUAAGAAGCCCCGGCUAACUACGUGCCAGCAGCCGCGGUAAUACGUAGGGGGCAAGCGUUAUCCGGAUUUACUGGGUGUAAAGGGAGCGUAGACGGUAAUGUAAGUCUGAUGUGAAAGCCCGGGGCUCAACCCCGGGACUGCAUUGGAAACUAUGUAACUAGAGUACCGGAGAGGG